UGGGCUUGAAAUGUAGCUGCAAGCUCUAGAAAUAGAGUCGCCUUCGAGGGUGCUAUGU
rnacentral:rRNA from 1 species